UAUAUUAAGGUGUAUGAAGCACUAAAAAUUUUGAUUUUUUCAGGUACAGUUUAAUUCUGUUUAAUAUAU
rnacentral:tRNA from 1 species